CCCCUAGAUGUUCUGGGCCGCACGCGCGCUACACUGGACAGUUCAACAAGUCUUAACCUUGGCCGAUAGGUCUGGGUAAUCUUUGAACGCUGUUCGUGAUUGGGAUAGACCUUUGCAAUUAUGGGUCUUCAACGAGGAAUUCCUAGUAAACGCAAGUCAUCAGCUUGCAUUGAUUACGUCCCUGCCCUUUGUACACACCGCCCGUCGCACCUACCGAUUGAAUGGUCCGGUGAAAUCUCGGGACGGCGGCUUGGUCGCUUGCGUCCGACUGCUGAAACUUGAUUAAACCAUAUCAUUUAGAGGAAGGUGAAGUCGUAACA
rnacentral:rRNA from 1 species